rnacentral:rRNA from 1 species
UACGGAGGGUGCAAGCGUUAUCCGGAUUCACUGGGUUUAAAGGGAGCGUAGGUGGGCUGGUAAGUCAGUGGUGAAAUCCCCGAGCUUAACUUGGGAACUGCCAUUGAUACUAUUAGUCUUGAAUACUGUGGAGGUCAGCGGAAUAUGUCAUGUAGCGGUGAAAUGCUUAGAUAUGACAUAGAACACCAAUUGCGAAGGCAGCUGGCUACACAAAUAUUGACACUGAGGCUCGAAAGCGUGGGGAUCAAACAGG